rnacentral:rRNA from 1 species
GGGACACGUGGUAUCCUGUCUGAAUAUGGGGGGACCAUCCUCCAAGGCUAAAUACUCCUGACUGACCGAUAGUGAACCAGUACCGUGAGGGAAAGGCGAAAAGAACCCCGGCGAGGGGAGUGAAAAAGAACCUGAAACCGUGUACGUACAAGCAGUGGGAGCACGCUUAGGCGUGUGACUGCGUACCUUUUGUAUAAUGGGUCAGCGACUUAUAUUCUGUAGCAAGGUUAACCGAAUAGGGGAGCCGAAGGGAAACCGAGUCUUAACUGGGCGUUAAGUUGCAGGGUAUAGACCCGAAACCCGGUGAUCUAGCCAUGGGCAGGUUGAAGGUUGGGUAACACUAACUGGAGGACCGAACCGACUAAUGUUGAAAAAUUAGCGGAUGACUUGUGGCUGGGGGUGAAAGGCCAAUCAAACCGGGAGAUAGCUGGUUCUCCCCGAAAGCUAUUUAGGUAGCGCCUCGUGAAUUCAUCUCCGGGGGUAGAGCACUGUUUCGGCAAGGGGGUCAUCCCGACUUACCAACCCGAUGCAAACUGCGAAUACCGGAGAAUGUUAUCACGGGAGACACACGGCGGGUGCUAACGUCCGUCGUGAAGAGGGAAACAACCCAGACCGCCAGCUAAGGUCCCAAAGUCAUGGUUAAGUGGGAAACGAUGUGGGAAGGCCCAGACAGCCAGGAUGUUGGCUUAGAAGCAGCCAUCAUUUAAAGAAAGCGUAAUAGCUCACUGGUCGAGUCGGCCUGCGCGGAAGA